CAGUUACCCCCGCAAACCUGGAGCGAUCCAGCGACGCAAAGCUACAGGGACUUCCCCCGAAGUCAGCCAGCUACCUGA
rnacentral:ncRNA from 1 species